UAAAACAGCAUAAAAAGACCCAGUGGACAUCUGAACACUCAUCAGUCGAAGCCUCUACAGAAAAAGUUGCUUUAACUAAAAAAGAUCAAGUUGAGAAAGAAAGAGUUUUGGAACAUGGCACGGGCAAACAGCGUACAUUUGUAUGAAGGAGAAGACUAUAUGGUUCCCUCUAAGGAAAUAACAACUGAGCAAUCAGACUUGAUGGCAAUUGGCUUGAAUGGAGCAAAAUCUCUUAAAGUUGGAACAAAUGCUGGGAAUUGGGUCGUGUUCCCUCAACCUGAUUUCAAGCCGGUUAAUGGAGGAAAACCAAUUAAACAGAAUCAAAAUUACCCUAACCCGGAAUCCAUGGAACUUUCGGGCCCUGUCAUGAGCUUGAGAAAGGUUUCAUUGUGAUAAAGGCUUCAUUCAAGGUUCUGUGGAUGAAUUUCUCUGUCAAAUGAUUUGUGAAAGCAACCUAACCAAGUUAAAGGAACUAAAGUAAAAGUAAAUCAAGGGCUGCAUGAUUUUGUUAUCAGUGUAAUUUCAUACAGUACAGUUGUCCACGGAUUAAAACAUUUCAUUCUCCCACCUGAGGAGGUGAAAA